UUGGGGAGCCCACCAAGACGGACUUAGCCACGGCGAUGGCAAAAGCACUAAAGUGCGUAAAAGAAGAGUACCGCCGCCGGAAGGCCAAGCGUGCUGCUGGCAUACCCUUGGAAAAUGGGCCACCCCUACAAAGAAGGAGGGUCGAGGAGGCCAAAAAUAAUGGAAUCGACGACGGCGACGAGCUCGGUGACGACGAGCCUGGCGGCGGCGAAGUUGGAGAUGGCGGUCUUGGCAACGGCGAGGUCGAAGACGGUAAGGUUGGAGACGUCCGCGGGCUUGGCAAUGACGAGUUUGGCGACGGGCGGGACCAUCACUGACGGCUACGGCGAGAUUAGCGACGGAGACUUCGGCGGCGACGAGAACGACAUCUUCGGCGACGGGAACGACACCGAGGAACCUGGCGUUGGCGAGCAAGAAGACGACGAAAACGAGAUCGGCAAUGAUGACGGCUAGUACGGCGAUGACGCUGGCGAAGGCGAGUACGGCGAUGACGACGACGAGAGCGACCGCACUGCCCUUGUCAGCGAUCACGACGAGGAACGCAGCAACGAUCCUGAUAACGCUGCAAUUUUUGAGUAUUUAUUUAUAAAUAAAAGAUAACUGUGUUCAUCACCAAAAAAAAAAAAAAUAUUUGAAAAAUAAUGUAUUUUUCUAAAUAAAAUAAAAAUGUUUCGAAUAUA